rnacentral:rRNA from 1 species
UACGUAGGGUGCAAGCGUUAAUCGGAAUUACUGGGCGUAAAGCGUGCGCAGGCGGUUGUGCAAGACCGAUGUGAAAUCCCCGGGCUUAACCUGGGAAUGGCAUUGGUGACUGUACGGCUAGAGUGUGUCAGAGGGGGGUAGAAUUCCACGUGUAGCAGUGAAAUGCGUAGAGAUGUGGAGGAAUACCGAUGGCGAAGGCAGCCCCCCUGGGAUAACACUGACGCUCAUGCACGAAAGCGUGGGGAGCAAACAGG